rnacentral:rRNA from 1 species
AUUGAACGCUGGCGGCGUGCUUAACACACGCAAGUCGAUCGGUAACAGGUGUAGCAAUACAUGCUGACGAGAGGCGGACGGGUGAGGAAUGUUUGGGAAUCUGCCCAUCAGCGGGGGACAACCCGGGGAAACCCGGGCUAAUACCGCAUACGCUCUACGGAGGAAAGCCGGGGACCGCAAGGCCUGGCACUGAUGGAUGAGCCCAAAUCGGAUUAGCUAGUUGGCGGGGUAACGGCCCACCAAGGCGACGAUCCGUAGCUGGUCUGAGAGGACGAUCAGCCACACCGGAACUGAGACACGGUCCGGACUCCUACGGGAGGCAGCAGUGGGGAAUAUUGGACAAUGGGGGAAACCCUGAUCCAGCGACGCCGCGUGGGUGAGGAAGGCCUGCGGGUUGUAAAGCCCUUUCGGUAGGGACGAAAGCUCUUGCUCCAACAAAGCAGGAGGUUGACUUAACCUACAUAAGAAGCACCGGCUAACUCUGUGCCAGCCGCCGCGGUAAGAC